rnacentral:rRNA from 1 species
AUUAUGAACGCUGGCGGCGUGCCUAAUACAUGCAAGUCGAGCGAACGGACGAGAAGCUUGCUUCUCUGAUGUUAGCGGCGGACGGGUGAGUAACACGUGGAUAACCUACCUAUAAGACUGGGAUAACUUCGGGAAACCGGAGCUAAUACCGGAUAAUAUUUUGAACCGCAUGGUUCAAGAGUGAAAGACGGUCUUGCUGUCACUUAUAGAUGGAUCCGCGCUGCAUUAGCUAGUUGGUAAGGUAACGGCUUACCAAGGCAACGAUGCAUAGCCGACCUGAGAGGGUGAUCGGCCACACUGGAACUGAGACACGGUCCAGACUCCUACGGGAGGCAGCAGUAGGGAAUCUUCCGCAAUGGGCGAAAGCCUGACGGAGCAACGCCGCGUGAGUGAUGAAGGUCUUCGGAUCGUAAAACUCUGUUAUUAGGGAAGAACAUAUGUGUAAGUAACUGUGCACAUCUUGACGGUACCUAAUCAGAAAGCCACGGCUAACUACGUGCCAGCAGCCGCGGUAAUACGUAGGUGGCAAGCGUUAUCCGGAAUUAUUGGGCGUAAAGCGCGCGUAGGCGGUUUUUUAAGUCUGAUGUGAAAGCCCACGGCUCAACCGUGGAGGGUCAUUGGAAACUGGAAAACUUGAGUGCAGAAGAGGAAAGUGGAAUUCCAUGUGUAGCGGUGAAAUGCGCAGAGAUAUGGAGGAACACCAGUGGCGAAGGCGACUUUCUGGUCUGUAACUGACGCUGAUGUGCGAAAGCGUGGGGAUCAAACAGGAUUAGAUACCCUGGUAGUCCACGCCAUAAACGAUGAGUGCUAAGUGUUAGGGGGUUUCCGCCCCUUAGUGCUGCAGCUAACGCAUUAAGCACUCCGCCUGGGGAGUACGACCGCAAGGUUGAAACUCAAAGGAAUUGACGGGGACCCGCACAAGCGGUGGAGCAUGUGGUUUAAUUCGAAGCAACGCGAAGAACCUUACCAAAUCUUGACAUCCUUUGACAACUCUAGAGAUAGAGCCUUCCCCUUCGGGGGACAAAGUGACAGGUGGUGCAUGGUUGUCGUCAGCUCGUGUCGUGAGAUGUUGGGUUAAGUCCCGCAACGAGCGCAACCCUUAAGCUUAGUUGCCAUCAUUAAGUUGGGCACUCUAAGUUGACUGCCGGUGACAAACCGGAGGAAGGUGGGGAUGACGUCAAAUCAUCAUGCCCCUUAUGAUUUGGGCUACACACGUGCUACAAUGGACAAUACAAAGGGCAGCGAAACCGCGAGGUCAAGCAAAUCCCAUAAAGUUGUUCUCAGUUCGGAUUGUAGUCUGCAACUCGACUACAUGAAGCUGGAAUCGCUAGUACUCGUAGAUCAGCAUGCUACGGUGAAUACGUUCCCGGGUCUUGUACACACCGCCCGUCACACCACGAGAGUUUGUAACACCCGAAGCCGGUGGAGUAACCUUUUAGGAGCUAGCCGUCGAAGGUGGG